rnacentral:rRNA from 1 species
GAUGAACGCUGGCGGCGUGCCUAACACAUGCAAGUCGAGCGAACGGACGAGACGCUUGCUUCUCUGUUGUUAGCGGAGGACGGGUGUGUAACAUGUGUAUAACCUACCUGUAAGACUGGGAUAACUUCGGAACACCGGAGCUAAUAGCGGAUAAUAUUUUGCACCGCGUGGUUCAAUAGUGAAAGACGGUGUUGCUGGCACUUAUAGAUGGAUCCGCGCUGCAUUGGCUAGUUGGUAGGGUAACGGGUUACGACGGCAAGGAUGCAUAACCGACCUGAGAGGCGGAUCGCCGGCACUGGAGCGUGGACAGGGACCAGACUCCUGCGGGAGGGAGCAGUCGGGAACCGGACGCAGUGGGCGAAAGUCUGACGGAGCAACGCCGCGCGAGUGAUGAAGGCCUUCGGAUCGGAAAAAUGUGUUAUGAGUGAAGAACAGAUGUGUCAGUAACCGUGGACAUCGUGACGGUACCUAGUAAAAAAGCCACGGCUAACUACGUG